AACCCAGCAAUAUUUUCAUGAAAGAGGGAUGCCAAUCAGAGCUUCCAUCUUCAACCCGAUCAACAACCUCCACUACUCUGGUCCUCCGACUCCGACCUCUUCAUCUCCCUGACGUCUUCUUCGUGUUUUGACUGCUAAAGCAUUGAAACGCAAUUCCCUCUCCUUCCUCAUCUUUGCUACUACAAAGAGUUUGAGUUUGGCCUUGAGAUUUCAAUAAUCAUAAAAAUACAACACCACCGCAAUGCAUGAGGGCAUCUUUUAUGGACUGAUAUGUGAGUGUUGUAUAUGAGCAUCAUAUCAGAAUUCAUAAGUGCAAUAUGAAUAUAAGUUAUUCCAUGCUAACCAUGGUUUUGCAGCGCGGGUAAGCAUUCUGGUAAGUUUGCUUUUUCUAAUCAAGAUAUACUUGCUUAUGCAUAAUCUAAUAGCAAGAACCCUAGAGUUCUCCUGAGGAGCAAUUAAGUUACUAGGGAGGUGCCCAAAUGAAAUUCAAAUUCGUAUUGCAUUUUGGUUGUUCACUAGUUGUUUUUUGGUGAAAUUUUAAUUGUGUAAUAUGAGUUACUAGUGAAACCAUGUUCUUGCUAUUAUUAUGCUAAUGGACUUGUAAUAUUUUGGCAUGAAAUCUUUAUGGCUGGUUCUCCCGAGUUAAUAUUGGGUAUUUAUUUUUAGAUUGCAAACUAAGGUGAUAUCUCUAGCACAUGCAUAUCUUGAGGCUUCUUCACAUGGUCUUCAUUGUUUAUCUUGCUUCAAACCUGUCACAAUUUUCAGCUAGGCAUAAUAUUGAACAGUUGGUGUGCACCCACUCAUAGUACGCAAAAUAAUUAACUUGUACUAGUCUUCAUAGUCUUAAUAUCUCAACAAAUUGCUGAUGAAUUUCUAAUUUGUUAUAUGGAAAGUUUAGCAGAGCAAACAAUAAAAUGGACAAUUGCUUUCUUUAUCUUAGGUUUUAAUUUUGUCUAUUAAAUUUAUACUAAAUCAGAGUUUCUUUCCCUCAUAUCAAUAACCAAUAGUCCAAUACUGACUAAGUUUCUUGGUAAAGUCAUAUCCUUAACGAUAGAUACAAAAGUAUACAAAGGUUUCUACAAAUUGUGGUUCCUAUACUUGUUUUGUAUGGACUUUCUUUUAAAUCUGAGAGAAAAUAUGUGCAGCAAUAUAAUUGUAUGCACUAUAAUUAGUGAAAACCUCACAGUGAUUCAAGAAAUGUAAUCUACAUAGCUGAGAAUUAUGGAGUAGUCAAUGGCUACAAUAUUCUCCACACAAUGAGCUAAUUCAAUAAGAUACGGCUUAUAAGUUUUUGUACAAUUAUUGGGGUACUCUUCUUUACCAAUAAUUAACCAAGAGUUUAUUUAAUUACUGUGUUUGUCAUAUUACACCAAAUAGUAAUGUGGUUUGCUAAAAUUUAAUUACAAAGUUUCCGAUAAGACUUUUUACACAUUUUGGGCUUUUCAAUUGAUGAGAAGUUUCAUAUAUAAAUCAGUCAACAGAGUAAUAAUGUAUAUUUCAUAUUUGUUUCCUUGCGAUUUUCUAAGUCUGUUUAUGCCUUUUCCAGGCUGAAUCUUACCCAGUAGUGUUUGACAAUAGGGACAACGACAUAUGUGCAGCUGAGGCAUAAAUAUAAGAAGGCAAAUGGAGGCACGCCUCCAAGUAGGUGCACAAUGUUAGCUAACUCACUUGAAGAAAGAUGGAACAACAAUAAAUGAGAACGCAGAUAAAGCAAUAGUGAGAAUUAUGUCAUUUAUGUCCUACAUGGUUAUCUAGUCUUGUUUUCCGUUAUUUUGAUUGAAAUGUAUGUGAUGCAGAGAGAGAUUGAAAUAUAUGUCAUUUAUAAUCUAGUCUUGUCCACCUGCACUUUUGCUAAGGAUGAAUCUAUGUGAAUAUUGUUGUCAUCUUUUUAUCAUCAACUGAUAUGAUGGAGAUGUAAUCAAAAACAGAUG